AGUGAACGCUGGCGGUAGGCCUAACACAUGCAAGUCGAACGGCAGCACAGUAAGAGCUUGCUCUUACGGGUGGCGAGUGGCGGACGGGUGAGGAAUACAUCGGAAUCUACUUUUUCGUGGGGGAUAACGUAGGGAAACUUACGCUAAUACCGCAUACGACCUACGGGUGAAAGCAGGGGAUCUUCGGGCCUUGCGCGUUUGAAUGAGCCGAUGUCGGAUUAGCUAGUUGGCGGGGUAAAGGCCCACCAAGGCGACGAUCUGUAGCUGGUCUGAGAGGAUGAUCAGCCACACUGGAACUGAGACACGGUCCAGACUCCUACGGGAGGCAGCAGUGGGGAAUAUUGGACAAUGGGCGCAAGCCUGAUCCAGCCAUACCGCGUGGGUGAAGAAGGCCUUCGGGUUGUAAAGCCCUUUUGUUGGGAAAGAAAAGCAGCAGGUUAAUACCCCGCUGUUCUGACGGUACCCAAAGAAUAAGCACCGGCUAACUUCGUG
rnacentral:rRNA from 1 species